AUUGAACGCUGGCGGAAUGCUUUACACAUGCAAGUCGAACGGCAGCACGGACUUCGGUCUGGUGGCGAGUGGCGAACGGGUGAGUAAUGUAUCGGAACGUGCCCAGUCGUGGGGGAUAACGUAGUGAAAAUUACGCUAAUACCGCAUACGAUCUAUGGAUGAAAGCGGGGGAUCGCAGGACCUCGCGCGAUUGGAGCGGCCGAGAUAAGAUGAGGUAGUUGGUGGGUUAAAGGCCCACCAAGCCAACGAUCUGUAGCUGGGCUGAGAGGACGACCAGCCACACUGGAACUGAGACACGGUCCAGACUCCUACGGGGGGCAGCAGUGGGGAAUUUUGGACAAUGGGCGAAAGCCUGAUCCAGCCAUUCCGCGUGCAGGAUGAAGGCCCUCGGGUUGUAAACUGCUUUUGUACAGAACGAAAAGGUUUCUACUAAUACUAGGAGCUCAUGACGGUACUGUAAGAAUAAGCACCGGCUAACUACGUGCCAGCCGCCGCCGUAA
rnacentral:rRNA from 1 species